rnacentral:rRNA from 1 species
UACAGGGGGUGCAAACGUUGCUCGGAAUUAUUGGGCGUAAAGCGCGCGUAGGCGGCUAUCUAAGUCGGAUGUGAAAGCCCCUGGCUUAACUGGGGAAGUGCACCCGAAACUGGGUAGCUAGAGUGCAAAAGAGGGUCGCGGAAUUCCCGGUGUAGAGGUGAAAUUCGUAGAUAUCGGGAGGAACACCGGUGGCGAAGGCGGCGACCUGGGUUGACACUGACGCUGAGGCGCGAAAGCGUGGGGAGCAAACAGG